AGAGUUUGAUCCUGGCUCAGAAUGAACGCUGGCGGCGCGCCUAACACAUGCAAGUCGAACGAGAAAUCUCGAGCUUGCUCGAGAGAGUAAAGUGGCGCACGGGUGAGUAACGCGUGGGUAACCUGUCCUUAAAUUUGGGAUAAUCCACCGAAAGGUGGCCUAAUACCAAAUACGGUCCUAAGAACCAAGGUACUUAGGAUGAAAGCUGACCUCUUCGUGAAAGUUGGCGUUUAAGGAGGGGCUCGCGUACCAUUAGCUUGUUGGUAGGGUAAAGGCCUACCAAGGCUACGAUGGUUAGCUGGUCUGAGAAGAUGGCCAGCCACACUGGAACUGAAACACGGUCCAGACUCCUACGGGAGGCAGCAGUGAGGAAUCUUGCGCAAUGGGGGAAACCCUGACGCAGCGACGCCGUGUGAGUGAAGAAGGCCUUCGGGUCGUAAAGCUCUGUCAAGUGGGAAUAAAGUCUCUCGGUGAAUACCCGAGGAAUUUGAAGGUACCACUAAAGGAAGCACCGGCUAACUCCGUGCCAGCAGCCGCGGUAAUACAGGGGGUGCAAGCGUUAUUCGGAUUUAUUGGGCGUAAAGAGCGUGUAGGUGGUUGGGAUAGUCAGAUGUGAAAGCCUUCUGCUCAACAGAAGAAGUACGUCUGAAACUACCCAACUUGAGUACGAGAGAGGAAAGUGGAAUUCCCAGUGUAGAGGUGAAAUUCGUAGAUAUUGGGAGGAACACCUGUGGCGAAGGCGACUUUCUGGAUCGAUACUGACGCUGAGACGCGAAAGCGUGGGGAGCAAACAGGAUUAGAUACCCUGGUAGUCCACGCUGUAAACGAUGGGAACUAGUGUAGCGGGUAUUGAUCCCUGCUGUGCCGAAGCUAACGCAUUAAGUUCCCCGCCUGGGAGUACGUCGCAAGGCUA
rnacentral:rRNA from 1 species